GCCUGCGUAGCUCAACGGAUAGAGCUCUCGGUUUCUACCCGAGUGGUUGGGGGUUCGAGUCCCUCCGCGGGCA
rnacentral:tRNA from 1 species